AACUAUCGCCGUGUGAAAUUUGUGUUCAAUGCAAAAAACCCGCCGAAAGGUAUGAUACAGGUUAGCAUUACAAUGCACUCGGUUUGGUUUGUGUCGACAUCAAUAACGUCUGUCUGGAGGAUUUACACAAAUCAUUUGUUCGUCCAUAUCACCACGGGUCCUUUGUUUCUGGUGACAUCAUUAUUUACACUACACCGGAGACGAUGAAUUCUACGAUGCAGCGCUUGAGGCUUUUGGUUAUAUGGAAACUGAUGGGAUCCAAG